GGACGAACGCUGGCGGCGUGCUUAACACAUGCAAGUCGAACGGAAAGGCCCUGCUUUUGUGGGGUGCUCGAGUGGCGAACGGGUGAGUAACACGUGAGUAACCUGCCCUUGACUUUGGGAUAACUUCAGGAAACUGGGGCUAAUACCGGAUAGGAGCUCCUGCUGCAUGGUGGGGGUUGGAAAGUUUCGGCGUUUGGGGAUGGACUCGCGGCUUAUCAGCUUGUUGGUGGGGUAGUGGCUUACCAAGGCUUUGACGGGUAGCCGGCCUGAGAGGGUGACCGGCCACAUUGGGACUGAGAUACGGCCCAGACUCCUACGGGAGGCAGCAGUGGGGAAUAUUGCACAAUGGGCGGAAGCCUGAUGCAGCAACGCCGCGUGCGGGAUGACGGCCUUCGGGUUGUAAACCGCUUUCGCCUGUGACGAAGCGUGAGUGACGGUAAUGGGUAAAGAAGCACCGGCUAACUACGUG
rnacentral:rRNA from 1 species